UGCUGGGAUUAUCUGUUGAUUUAGAAGAUCAUACCAUCUGUAGGCCAAUACAUUUAAUUCCUCAUCCCCCAUCCACACCCAACAGGGUACCUUCCAUGGAACUCUGCAAGUGUUAAUUUACAGAGUGCUUCUCUGCCUCACCAGAGAGUUUAUUCUAGAACUAACUGGCAACUGUAAAUGAGACUAGUUCCUACUUUCAGUACUUCAAUCUGAAUCUUACUAAUCAAACUUGCUUCAAUGCCUAUGAAUACCUUACAAUUGGGCACUGUUUUAUUUAUUCAUAUUUAAUUUUGAAAAGGGUUUAUUCAAUUGUGUUUUGUACAAAAAGUAAAAUACAUAUCACGAGAGGACAAUAAUUCUCAAAUUAAAAGAUACCACCAGCAUAGCAGCCCUUGCAACAAAGAUUCUCCAGCUUCCAACAUCAACCCCUCACAAUCUGCCCAUUCCUCAAAUAUUCAUGGAAAUAAGCUGCACUGUCAAUGUGCCCACCUCGUCAACAAAUCUGGUCUCUGACAAAUCAGCAAGCAAAUUCCAAAGUUGUGUUCCCUUCAUAGAAAAUUUCCUUCCAGACAGCCUCUACCAUUUAAACCAUACAGGUUCUAGGUCAAGAGUCUCUACUAACCACAGUUUUGUUAUGAACUGGGUCUGUUUCAAACUCUGUGGAGAGAAUCAUGCAUUGCCUGCAGAAUAUCACAUCACUUUUAGUGUUUGCACAGUAAUCCCAAUUAAUACUAGCAAUAAACUGUCCUGUGAUCCAAAUUCUGACCUUCAACCCCUCUUACCAGAAAAAUGUUUCCUAUAAAACUAACAUCCAAGAGUCAUACAAUUACUCUUUUGUCCUGAAUCUAAACUGUGUGUUAUAGCAACACAAAUACUGAUAACAUGUCUCUUUUCUGAUGCCACACUUUGCCUCACUAACACUGCUUCUGUACCCUCAAUUCAUUUUGCCAUGAUCUUUUGAUAAAUUCUGUCUCGUUACUUUAUACUUUAUUUUCCUUGAUUCAACAUAACAGUGUUAUUCCAACCUUUUAAUCAAUCUUACCUUUAAACACAUGCCAUGUAAAUUCAGCAGUCAUUUUAUAUAUGCAUCUGGCAUUUGCAGCCCUCUGCUUCAUUGUUUCAAUCUCUCUUACACUGUUAAUCAGCAUAUGCAUUCUAUCCAGAGUUUUACUGUCCUUCUCUCCCAACCCUUCACCUCUGGCAUCAAUAAUCCAAAAAAACUAAUGUGUCAAUCUAAUCUAAUUGCCCCAGCAGAACCAAGAUGUAGCUGAUCUCACUUUUGUCAAUCUACUCCCCGUCACAUAGCACUUUAUAACAAAAUCUCUAACCUUCUGACCUGGGAUUAAUCAACUGUUUAUCCAUUUCCAGUUUAAUCCACUUUAUUAUUAUUUACAUUGUAGUAGCACCUAGAGGCCCCAGGCCUAUUGUGCUAGGUGCUGUAAAAACACGUGACAAGAGAAUGUCUCCAUCCCCAAAAGUGUUUAUAAUUUAAGUAAAGAUUCUCUCUUCCAGGCAGAGUGUGUGAAUCACUCUUUAAUACUCUUUAACAUGCUAUUCGUUGUAUAAUUUAUUCCAGUAUAGGUCACAACAAUAUCUAAAUUAUGGUUAUGCUAUUCUUGUCUGUAUCUGUUUGAAGGCACAAGACAUUUCAACAUCUGUAAACUGCAUGAUCUGUCUCUAUUGUGGGUCAUGUCAAUGUAUCUAGCUGUAUCUUGCACUUCGUGUCAUAGUAAGCAGAGAUGUAUUAUUUAAUAAGUAGUCCAAUAAUGAAUACACAACAAUAAUACACCGCAGUGUACGCCUCUACUUUACCUGAGAACUCAGACUAUUACAUAUAGGUUGGUUCCUUCCCAUUUCUCUUGCAUAAUUUAUCAAACUUCUCGGGGAACAUCAUUAAUCUUUGCUUCUGGAAGAGUAACUACAGUCCUCUUUGCCUGACCUUCUUAACAGACCAACUAUCCAUGUUUAGCAUACAAUAAAUGAGAGAUUUCUUUUCUGCAGGAUAUUAUGACUUUCAAAAGGCAUUUGAUCUGGAUUAUCUUCAGCUGGUAAUUGCUGUAUGUUCUUCUUUGCUUGUAAUAACAACAAAUUUGAUUCACUUAGGAGUUCUACCCCUUAUCACUAUUCAAAUAAUGAUAUUUCCAGGAUUAAAUGUUCUUGUUAGUUUUAGUCCACCAAAAAGGCAUAUUUGCAUUUUAUACAUAUAAAUGAUCAUCCACAUUCUUAUCCAUAUGGUUUUUAGCACAUAUGAAAAAUCAUGCUCCUAGUGAAAGACCACACAACUUAACUGGCUGAAUGAAAGUCUCAUACUGGAAACAGAAGAUAAGACAGAAAUACUCGUUUCAAACCAAUUUUGAGUUAAAAGAAGAAUGGAAUUUAACAUUAGCAAGUACUGUUAUUGAGAUUAAUUCUUUCAUAAAGCCUGAGCUUCAGAUCCAUAUGUUUUUGUAUCACCAUAACCAAUAUGGAAAUUGUUCCUAUUGGCACUUCUUAAAGAAUAUCCGACAUUGGUUUAUACAGAUACAAUUGAUCAAGUUAUUUCAGAAACCUUCUUCCAAAUUAAGAAAAUUGUACAGUAAUUUCUUCUCAAUCACUCAGUAGUAUUGCCUCUCUACUGAGUUUAGCAAAUCUUAACUAAAUGCAAAAGCUGUUUGUAUUUAUGGAAAUAUUACAAAUUUUCCUUUGAAACUGGCAAAUGAAGUUCUGAAACAUUUUAAAUUUUUACUACACGCUUGAAAAAAAAAUGAAUGCAUGAACUCUCAAUUUUCCUGUUCCUAAAAAUAUUCUUCAUACAGUUGGUUUUGGUUAUACUGAAACAAACUAUGUUUUAUGCUUAUAUUACUCCAAUUAGAUACAUAUUAAAGAUCUGAUCCUGUAAAGUCUUAUGCAUGUGCUUAACUAUCCUCUAAACAGAAUUAUUCCCUGCAUACAGUUACACUUAUGAUUAAUUUUCUGUUGAGGCAAGUACAAAUAGCUUUAUUCUUUUAUGUUUUGUUCUUGUACUUAGAGCAUGGAUAGGCACAUUUAACAAAAAUAAAUAAAUUACAAAUUGUUCUGAUCUGUAUCUAUAGAUCAAGAUUUUGAUCAAGACAAAGUUAAUAUCCUUGAAGUACAGAAUACUUGCCAAUAUAUAGAUGAUGGCAUUGGACCCUGAGAUCUGGAUCCUGAAGGUAUUUAGGCACCUAAGUCCCAAUGGCUUUCAAAUACCUAUCUAUCUUUCAGGACAUGACCCUGUCAGCCCAAAGCUACAUUCUGAUUGGUCACUUGGAUCUUUCUCAUGAUGUUACAACUGUGCUUCCCCUGGUGCACAGCUAGGGCUUCAUCACUGACACACACAGACACACCAUCCCUUCACUCAUUAUGAGGGAGAGGAAUUGCUGAUAGGGAGGGCAAAGAAAAUAAACAGCCCUUGGAGCAUGUGGGAGGAAAGGAAACUGGGGAAGAUAAGGAAAAAAACGUGAAGGACUGAAGAAGAAUUAUGACCAUUUUGAACUGCCCACUCCCUCAAGACACUGCUUUACAGCAGCACUUUCGUGACCUUGUAAACACUUUCAACCUAAUUCAUAGUGUAAAAUCUAAACUAGGAGUUUCAAGACUGGGCAUCUGCUUUUUAUAAAAGUAAAUGGCUUGAAAUUGGUUUGGAGCCAUGAACAGCCACUGUUAAGGCAUCAGCAGAUAAAGAAAUGGAAAAAAAGCAGUCAAAACAGUCCCAGGAAUUUACAAAAAAGAGAUAAAAUAAGCAAACAAUAGAAAUAUUCAAAAUAGUAGUGAAAUAAUAUUUAUAAACUUCUGCCUAUUUUAUAGCGGGAGGGUAUACUGACUAGUCCCAAAAAUGCUUUGUAAAGAACAUUUAAAAAAUAAAUGAAAUGUACAAUUAAGACAACACUCUCUCCAUAUACGAUUAUAACAGCAAAGAGCUACUCCAGAAAGUGCAUUGGUGGGCUUUUUAUACACAUCUUAAGGGGUUAAAAGCAACGAAGAGGGGUACCAAUAGCUUAUUAAUGUAACCCUGCUGUGGCUUACUGCCAUAUUACCACCUUCGGCAAAAUGAACAUUAGCUUCCACUGAAUUGACUGCAGCCAGUCAGGAUUAUUUCCCUUUCACAUACCAUCUGCCCUGGUCCAAACACUGGCAUUGGUGCCUUCUGAAGAGGUAACAAAUAGAAGCAUAUUGACUCAUUACAUCACUGAUUUCAGUCAAUCAUACUCAUGUAUGUAGCAAUUAUACAGUAGUAAAAAUUUAUACACAAACACACUGGCCUAAUCCCACAAAAUCCUUUUAUUAAAUGGUGGCUCUCUCUUUUCUUUAAGAUGGAAUAGUUGUCUCUGAGAUGAAGAGACAUUUCUUUUUCUAUUUAAGUAG